ensembl:lincRNA
GCAAAGAGGUUUGAUUUGAGCAGGGCAGCUGAAGCUGUGAAGAGACACAGUGCUCAUUACAGGUAGCGAGCGCCACACCUAGAGCUUUCAGCAGUCUUGGUUACUGUCCUAACACUCAGCACUCUGAGAAUAUUUUCUCCACGAUUUCAGUUCAGUGCUGACGACACUGGAAACAGAAGAAAGACUGAAGUGGUGGAGUCCUGUUGAGAAUCCCGGGUCUGCCACGUCUGCGCCCUGUGUUCCUAACCUUUCACCUCUCACACCCGGGAGCAUCAUGCGUGCUCGUGCAUGAACUGAUUCUCCUACCCUGGGCAGUGCCCUUCCUGCCGUCCUCGCAUGUGAAUUUUUAACCAUUUACCUCUUACUCCCCACAUAUAUUGUAUACUUUUAGUACAGUCUGCAUCCAUAUCUAUAGAUCCUACAUCCAUGCUUUCAACUAACUAUGGAGCAAAAGCACUCACUGUUUGAGAACAUGGCCCAUAUCGUUCCCAGAAAGUCUCCAUUCAAAGAAUACAUAAAUGGGCCUUUUAUUCAAAUAGGAGUUAGCUCAACAACAAGGACGGCAAGAACAACAAAGACAAGGACAAAAACAGCGCCCUGCCCAGGUGUUAAUGAAAAUGGUGGCAUGCCUUGGCGCCACAGAUGUUGACAAAGGCUUUGGCUUCACUUGGGAUAGACAAGUAUCUGGAGAACUGGACGGCCACAGAGAACCCUGAGAAGGUGUGACCUGCUCCUGCAGAGUGACAAAAUGUCACAUGUCCAGAAAAAGACUUGCAAAAGAGAAGACCCAAGCCCUGUACAAAGGAGUUAAAGCUAAGGCUGUUUCAUACACAGCCUGGAAUUUGACACUUGGCUUCUUUUGUAGAUCCUCCUGAUAGAAAGCAGAGGACAAAAAGGGGAGGAGCAUGGAAAUCUCUGCUGACCAAUCACUGACUGACCAAUAUGUCAUUCUGGUCUAAAAGUGAACACAAGGAACAAAGUUUAAACAGGAAUCUUUUUUAAAAAAUAAAAAACUAGCAAACAGCACAAUGCACACAGAGGUAUAAGAAUAAAGAAUCUAGAAAGUCAGGCCUGGAAAGUUUUCAGAAAUAACCACAACAAAAUAAACAAGACUGAUCACAAAUUGAAAGAGGAAAAUAUCAACAAAUUUGGGGUGGUAGAAUGUAUUAUCAGAUUUCUUACAGUGUGCUUUCUAGAAUGUCCAGUUUCAAAAGGCAAAGCGUAAGAUGAUGAAAUUAGGAGAGAAACACAGGGGCAGAGGGAGAGAGGCCGCAGAAACAUCCCAAAGCACAUUGCUGCAAGUGUCUCGUUUGACGAAAAUCUUGCCGCUAUCCUACUGAAGAAAAGCCACUUCUAAUUUUGCCUCCAUGGGGUUAAAGUUAUGAAACACUGAUGGGUGGUGCAGAGAGGAGAGCCAGAUGAGGACAGGAUGAGAGGGAGGAGCAACCUGGGAGUGUAGGGGACGGCGACUCUUAGCAUAUCAUUUUUAAGACAGAAUAGUUUUAGUCUUAGUACAAGCCACAAAAUGUGUCUUGAGAAACGUCCUGGAAGGGUUGUAAAAAGCUAACUUUGCAGUUAACUUUGCCCUGGAAUGUUUCUCCAAAGAUAAAGAACACCCAGGCCCAGAUAACCACCUAUGACCCUGCCUGGGUUGUUUCAUCCCUUCCCUGGCCCUAGUUAAACACUUUAACCAUAAAGGAGCGCACAGAUGUAAAAAGGGGAACCAACACAACAGAGUGUGGGAAGUAUCUAUCGUAAUGGUUGGGCUCAUGACCCAGGCCUGAUCCAGCCACAGGGCCGCACGGGAUAAGGAAAACAAGGAGUGGUCACCUGAGUCAAUGGCUGCAACAUUCCGUUCUGUUACCAUGGAAACCAAAAAUGUAUAUAAGGUGGAAACAAAGACCCAGAGGGGGCCGCCAUUUCCCGACCUGCUAAUCAGGGAUGUAUGAUGAUCAGUCUAAAUUCAAUAAACUCUGUUUUUCCCUAAAAUUGAAUCCUUCGGUCUUCUGUGGA